AGAGUUUGAUCCUGGCUCAGGAUGAACGCUGGCGGCGUGCCUAACACAUGCAAGUCGAGCGAAGCAUUUUGCUCUGAUUUCUUCGGAUUGAAGAGUGAUCUGACUGAGCGGCGGACGGGUGAGUAACGCGUGGGCAACCUGCCUUACACAGGGGGAUAACAGUUAGAAAUGACUGCUAAUACCGCAUAAGACCACGGUACUGCAUGGUACAGUGGUAAAAACCGAGGUGGUGUAAGAUGGGCCCGCGUCUGAUUAGGUAGUUGGCGGGGUAACGGCCCACCAAGCCGACGAUCAGUAGCCGACCUGAGAGGGUGACCGGCCACAUUGGGACUGAGACACGGCCCAGACUCCUACGGGAGGCAGCAGUGGGGAAUAUUGCACAAUGGGGGAAACCCUGAUGCAGCGACGCCGCGUGAGCGAUGAAGUAUUUCGGUAUGUAAAGCUCUAUCAGCAGGGAAGAAGAUGACGGUACCUGACUAAGAAGCCCCGGCUAACUACGUGCCAGCAGCCGCGGUAAUACGUAGGGGGCAAGCGUUAUCCGGAUUUACUGGGUGUAAAGGGAGCGUAGACGGCAUGGCAAGUCUGAUGUGAAAGCCCGGGGCUCAACCGCGGGACUGCAUUGGAAACUGUCAGGCUGGAGUGCAGGAGAGGUAAGCGGAAUUCCUAGUGUAGCGGUGAAAUGCGUA
rnacentral:rRNA from 1 species